AUACGUAGGUGACAAGCGUUAUCCGGAUUUACUGGGUGUAAAGGGCGUGUAGGCGGUUUAGCAAGUCAGAAGUGAAAUUCCCGGGCUUAACUUGGGCGCUGCUUCUGAAACUGCUUUACUUGAGUGCUGGAGAGGAUAGUGGAAUUCCUAGUGUAGCGGUAAAAUGCGCAGAUAUUAGGAGGAACACCGGUGGCGAAGGCGGCUAUCUGGACAGUAACUGACGCUGAGGCGCGAAAGCACGGGGAGCAAACAGGAUUAGAUACCCUGGUAGUCCGUGCCGUAAACGAUGAAUACUAGGUGUAUGGGGUAUCGACUCCCUCUGUGCCGCAGUUAACACAUUAAGUAUUCCACCUGGGGAGUACGGCCGCAAGGUUGAAACUCAAAGGAAUUGACGGGG
rnacentral:rRNA from 1 species